CUUAUUGUGGUAAUCUUACACCUUUAAAACUUUAAAAAAAAGUGGAAACACAGACAGCAGACGAAGAGGUCCAAUCAGGUAUCCUGACCUGACCCGAUGUCGAGGUGUAUUUCAGUUUUAUCAACAGGAUCCACAAUGAAGUUGAUGUAAACGAACCUAAUCGGAUCAGAUAUGUGGAAAUUUAAACUUCACAUCAGGUUUAAUAGUUCAACGACCGUGUGUUUUUUAAUAGUAAGAACUAUAACAGAAUAUGAUUAUUUAUCCAGCGCGUUGGAUGUGACAGGUACUGAGAGGAGGCAAGAGUGGAUGUCAUGGUCCAAUCAGGGAGAUACCCACAGCUGCUGGCUGUAAUCAUGGGAGUGAAGCAGCACAGUGCAAUUUGCCUAGGAGAGCUGAACUGACAGUAUUCAAUUUAAAAAAGGUAUAAAAUCAGCACCCUGGUCCCCUUUUUUAUGCUUCACUGAACAAGUUGAACUCUUGCGCCAACAAAGUCCAAAUCCCCAGCCUCUGGGUGGGAGUACAUGUGCACAAAAGGAAGAUGAGGGGGGUUGUGUGCAGUGUUGACUACAACCCUGUGGAGAAAAUGAAUGUCUAUACCAAAGUAAUACAUAAUAUACAUAAUACAUCCAACCUCUGCUGAGAUAUUUCUCUCUUGACCAAAGAGGCGGACUGUUGACUGACCAUAAGCAAUGGUGCCAUGCUUAGUACUGCUGAAAACAAUGGAGACUAUUGGGCUAAAUGUAACCAAGCAGAAAUUCAACCAGAAAGACAACAAGCUGCCAAACAACAACAGUUACGCAGCGCCUCCAUCUGGUAAAGAAUGUGUGUGAAUGGAGGAAGCGUUUUGACGAGUCCGGGUCGCGCUAGCAGCAGGCUCAAUAAAGCAUCCCAGACGUUCAUCUCUCCAGACGUCUCCCAGUUCCUCCUGGGGAUCCCGAGGCGAUCCCAGUCCAGAUGGGAUAUCUAAUCUCCCCCCCCCCCUAGAGUGUCCAGGGUCUGUUCCCAGUCUCCUCCCAGUUGGACGUGUCCAGAAAAACCUCCACAGGGAGAAGUUCUGAUCAGAUGGCCAAAACCCUCGACUCAAAAAAAUAAUUUCUUUCAACAUGAGGGAGCAACGGUUUUACAGUGCAGCUUUUAUUUAUCUGACUUUAAUUUAUGUUGAAAGUUCAUUCUUAACUUCACUUUCCAAUCUUAUCUUCCUGCUUCAUGAUGUUUGUUUGGUGAUCUCCAGUAUUCUGCGUUUCUGAUGACAGCUAACAUGUGUGUGCGCCAUGUGGACUCCACUCCAACUAAAUCCUCUUUACUGCUACUAUCAGGAAGGUAAAUCUGCUCCAGUCAUCUUGCAUUUGUAAAGGUUGACUGUUUGAUUUUAUUCAUGCAGGUUUGUUUUCCAUCUAACUGACAGGGGUGGGGGGGAAUUAAAAUCUCUGGCAAAAUGGCCAAAGCUGAUAAAUCCAGAUAAUCUCUUCAGUCCACAGAUCUUCAGCUGCAGCCUGAGUCUGCCACACGCUGUAAAAAAGAUUUUGGUCUAAUAUUUAACCAUUAAGGGUUUUUGUUAUUUGUUAUUUCAUUUUAUAUAACUGAUCUCUGAGGACUGUUUGUGCAAAAAAAAAAAAAAAAAGACAA